UACGUAGGGUGCAAGCGUUGUCCGGAAUUAUUGGGCGUAAAGAGCUCGUAGGCGGUCUGUCACGUCGGCUGUGAAAACCCGAGGCUCAACCUCGGGCCUGCAGUGGGUACGGGCAGACUAGAGUGCGGUAGGGGAGACUGGAAUUCCUGGUGUAGCGGUAGAAAUGCGCAGAUAUCAGGAGGGAACACCGGUGGGCGAAGGCGGGGUCUCUGGGCCGAUACUG
rnacentral:rRNA from 1 species